UACAGAGGCGGCAAGCGUUGUUCGGAAUUAUUGGGCGUAAAGAGCACGUAGGCGGCCUUGUAAGUCAGUUGUGAAAUCCUUCCGCUCAACGGGAGAACGGCAUCUGAUACUGCAAGGCUAGAGUGCGGAAGGGGAGAGUGGAACUUCUGGUGGAGCGGUGAAAUGCGUAGAUAUCAGAAGGAACACCGGCGGCGAAGGCGACUCUCUGGUCCGUAACUGACGCUGAGUGUGCGAAAGCUAGGGGAGCAAACGGG
rnacentral:rRNA from 1 species